GCUCGCCUGACGGAAUGGUAGACGUCGCGGACUUUUAAUCCGCGGCCCUAUGGCGUGGGGUUCGACUUCCCCGGCGGGCACCA
rnacentral:tRNA from 1 species